UUGUUGUUGUUGUUGUUGUUGUUGUUGUUGUUGUUGUUGUUGUUGUUGUUGUUGUUGUUGUUGUUUGUUUGUUUGUUUGUUGUUGUUGUGGCAGCAGUGUGGAGUAGUGGAUAGGGCUCUGGACUCUUGACUAUUAUUAUAGCAGCAUACAUAUGACAAUGAAAAUAUAGUUACAUAUUAUUUAUUUUUCAAAUAUAUUUUCAAAUAGUUUAAUAACAUUUAUAUUAUUCGUGUGGUGUGGUGUGUGUGUGUGUGUGUGUGUGUGUGUGUGUGUGUGUGUGUGAGUGUGUAAACACUACAAUAAUAAUAAGCAGGACAAGCGCCGGAGCGGACAAUUACAUUUGUAUGUUUGAUUAUCGAGGGUGUGUAAUAAUACGGAGAACCUUUCGGCAGCCUGCACUGCGCACAUUACUCUAUUGGACCAAACGGCAGUCACAGCGCUUCGGUUCGGUUUGGCUCGGCUCGGAAACAGGUCCUCACAAUGAAACAGUGGAUGCUCCUCCUGUAUUUCUCUGUCUUGCACAGCACUGCGGAGGCCACCUCUUUGAAGACAUCAGACUCUCCAGUGAAGGGCACGCUCUUUGGAGAGGUCUCUCUCCCCUGCUCCCUCUCCCCCAUCUCCGAUGCAACGCCCCUGAGUAUUUCCUGGCUUCAAAAAUGUACUGACUCGCUGGUCUACUCGUACCAUCUGGGGUCUAGCACGGCAGGACCCACGUUCGAGGGGGGGGCGUGCUAACAUUGACCUCAGCAAGCUGACCCGUGGUGACCUUACCCUGACUCUACUCAACCUCACUUUGGCUGAUGAGGGGACCUACUUGUGCCAGACCACAGACAGCAAAGGGGAAAAAGUGGAGAAGACCAUGGAGCUGAAAGUGGGGAAUGUAGGUCAACGCCCUUUGAUCUUACUCUCCUCCCUCCCCACCGCUUUCUCGAUCUCUCUCUCCUGUCAGUCCCCUGGGUGGACCCCAGCUCCUCAGGUCUCGUGGAAUGGGGGCGAUGGCAGCUCGCUGGGGGUUAAAGGUCAUGGAUCAGAGCCUGACCUGCACACUGAGCAAGACACUGCUGGGGAAAGAGACAUACGAAACUGAGCAUUACAGGUGAUUUCCCUCCCAGUGUCUCUCCCUGGCUUAUUGUGUUCAUCGUUCUGUUGCUGAUUCUCGGUGUGAUCGCCGGGGUUGUGUUCUGGCAGUACAGCAAGAAGAGAGAAGCCAUCCGAGUGAAGGAACGCCAAGCUGCUAAAGCAGAACGAGAGCCUCUUCUGGAGCAGUAUG